UACGGAGGGUGCGAGCGUUAAUCGGAAUUACUGGGCGUAAAGCGCGCGUAGGCGGUUUGUUAAGUCAGCUGUGAAAGCCCCGGGCUUAACCUGGGAACUGCGGAUGAUACUGGCGGACUAGAGUGUGGCAGAGGGUGGCGGAAUUUCCGGUGUAGCAGUGAAAUGCGUAGAGAUCGGAAGGAACACCAGUGGCGAAGGCGGCCAUCUGGGUCAACACUGACGCUGAGGUGCGAAAGCGUGGGGAGCAAACAGG
rnacentral:rRNA from 1 species